GGGUGCGAUCAUACCAGCACUACAGCACCGAAUUCC
rnacentral:rRNA from 3 species